rnacentral:rRNA from 1 species
UACGAGAGGCCCAAACGUUAUUCGGAAUUACUGGGCUUAAAGAGUUCGUAGGCGGCAUUGCAAGUAGGGUGUGAAAGCCCUCGGCUCAACCGAGGAAUUGCGCUCUAAACUGCAGUGCUUGAGGAAGCUAGAGGUGAGCAGAACAGAUGGUGGAGCGGUGAAAUGCGUUGAUAUCAUCUGGAAUACCGGAGGCGAAGGCGGCUCACUGGGGCUUUUCUGACGCUGAGGAACGAAAGCCAGGGGAGCGAACAGGGAUUAGAAAACCCUA